UACGGGGGGGGGCAAGCGUUGUUCGGAAUUACUGGGCGUAAAGGGCUCGUAGGCGGCCAACUAAGUCAGACGUGAAAUCCCUCGGCUUAACCGGGGAACUGCGUCUGAUACUGGAUGGCUUGAGUUUGGGAGAGGGAUGCGGAAUUCCAGGUGUAGCGGUGAAAUGCGUAGAUAUCUGGAGGAACACCGGUGGCGAAGGCGGCAUCCUGGACCAACACUGACGCUGAGUGAGCGAAAGCCAGGGGAGCAAACGGG
rnacentral:rRNA from 1 species